UAACAGGGAAGCUUGCUUCUCGCUGAACGAGACGGCGGACGGAGUGAGUAAUGUAUGGGGAUACUAGACCCGAAAUAGAGGGGGAUAACCUACUGGAAACAGGUGGCUAAUACCGCAUAAUCUCUUAGGAGCAAAGCAAGGGGAACAUUCGGUCCUUGCGCUAUCGGAUGAACCCAUAUGGGAUUAGCUAGUAAGUGGGGUAAUGGCUCACCUAGGCGACGAUCCCUAGACUGGUCUGAGAGGAUGAUCAGCACACACUGGGACUGAGACACGGACCCAAACUCCUACGGGAGGCAGCAGUGGGGAAUAUAUGCACAAUGGGCGCAAGCCUGAUGCAGACCAUGCCGCGUGUAUGAAGAAGGCCCAUAGGGUUGUAAAGUACUUUCAGUCGGGAGGAAGGCGUUGAUGCUAAUAUCAUCAACGAUUGACGUUACCGACAGAAGAAGCACCGGCUAACUCCGUGCCAGCAGCCGCGGUAAUACGGAGGGUGCAAGCGUUAAUCGGAAUUACUGGGCGUAAAGCGCACGCAGGCGGUUGAUUAAGUUAGAUGUGAAAUCCCCGGGCUUAACACUGGGAAUGGCAUCUAAGACUGGUCAGCUAGAGCUCUUGUAGAGGGGGGUAGAAUUCCAUGUCGUAGCGGUGAAAUGCGCUAGAGAUGUGGAGGAAUACCGAUGGCGAAGCGGCCCCCCGGACAAAGACGUGACGCUCAGGUGCGAAACGCGUGGGGAGCAAACAGGAGUCUAGAUAACCUGGUAGUCCACGACUGUAAACGAUGUCGAUUUGAAGGUUGUUCCCUUGAGGAGUGGCUUUCGGAGCUAACUGCGUUAAAUCGACCGCCUGGGGAGUACGCCGCAAGGUUCAAACUCAAAUGAAUUGACGGGGGCCCGCACAAGCGGUGGAGCAUGUGGUUUAAUUCGAUGCAACGCGAAGAACCUUAUAUACUCUUGCAUCCAGAGAAUGUAGCAG
rnacentral:rRNA from 1 species